rnacentral:rRNA from 1 species
CACCGCGGUUAUACGAGAGACCCAAGUUGAUAAACACCGGCGUAAAGAGUGGUUAAGGAAACACUAAAAACUAAAGCCGAACGCCAACAGAGCUGUUAUACGCUGCCGGAGGUAAGAAGUCCAAUCACGAAAGUGGCUUUAUAUAACCUGACCCCACGAAAGCUAUGGCA